CUACGGGCGGCAGCAGUGGGGAAUAUUGGACAAUGGGGGAAACCCUGAUCCAGCAAUGCCGCGUGUGUGAAGAAGGCCUGCGGGUUGUAAAGCACUUUCGGUUGGGAGGACUGCUUCUAGCACUAAUAUUGUUGGAAGUUGACGUUACCUUCAGAAGAAGCACCGGCUAACUCCGUGCCAGCAGCCGCGGUAAUACGGAGGGUGCAGGCGUUAAUCGGAAUUACUGGGCGUAAAGCGCGCGUAGGCGGCUAGAUCAGUCGGGUGUGAAAGCCCCGGGCUUAACCUGGGAACUGCAUCCGAUACUGUCUAGCUUGAGUACAGGAGAGGAGAGUGGAAUUCCACAUGUAGCGGUGAAAUGCGUAGAUAGGUGGAGGAACACCAAUGGCGAAGGCAGCUCUCUGGCCUGAUACUGACGCUGAGGUGCGAAAGCGUGGGGAGCAAACAGGAUUAGAUACCCCUGUAGUC
rnacentral:rRNA from 1 species